rnacentral:tRNA from 1 species
AAAUUUAGGUUACACAAUUCUUAAACCAAGAGUCUUCAAAACUCUAAACAGGGACUACACCCUAAUUUCUG